rnacentral:misc_RNA from 1 species
UGUCUCACUCGCUCUUUGCGUUUCUAUUCUCGUGCACUCUCCCGGGCUUGUGCGUGCGAACGCAAGCUCUCCUCCUGGGCCUCUCUCGAGAACUGUUUCGUCGGCGCCAUCAUCACUACGACACCUUCUCAUACUCUCCCCCUCCUCUUCACAUGUUUGAGUAACGUCGUCGAGGACAGUCAUCAAAGCCACAUACACGAACAAGCAACUACAGGCAACAGCAACCAUGGACCCAUCUGUCAUGGUGGGCCAGUACACGCUGGGCAAGCAGAUCGGCUCCGGCAACUUCUCGAAGGUGCGACUGGGCACCGAUCCGCAAGGCCGCACAUGGGCCAUCAAGAUCGUGGACAAGCGCCGCCUAAAGAAGGAGAACAUGGAGGACCAGAUGCUCCGCGAAGUCGCCAUCAUGCGCAGCUUGCGCCAGCAGAACGUGGUGAAGCUCCAGGAGGUGCUUCAGUCCUCUAACCAUUACUACUUAGUCCUCGAGCUGGUCACAGGCGGCGAGCUGUUUGACAAAAUUGUAGCCGCCAAGCGCUUCGACGAGCCGACGGCGCGUCGGUACUUCCACCAGCUCAUCGCGGGCAUGUACUACUGUCACUCGAAGGGCUUCGCUCACCGCGACCUGAAGCCGGAGAACCUGUUGCUCGACGCAAACGGCACACUGAAGAUUUCGGACUUCGGACUCAGCAACCUCCAGCAGGAUGUGCUGCUGCAGACCAUCUGCGGCACGCCAAACUACGUUGCACCAGAGGUGCUCAUGGAGCGCGGCUACAACGGACUCUCGGCGGACAUCUGGAGCUGCGGCGUGGUGCUGUACGUGAUGCUGGCAGGACGUCUGCCCUUCGAGGAUCGGAACAUGAACGUCCUUCUUGGCAAGAUCGAGCGGGGCGACUAUCAAAUGAUCCGCCACAUCAGCGACCCUGCCAAGGACCUAGUCGCGCGCAUGCUGACCGUCGACCCGCGCAAGCGCAUCUCAAUGGAGGAUGUCAUCAACCACCCUUGGUUCCAGAUUGACUGGAAUCCGAGGCUACUCUCCACGUAAGGUGUGGCAGAUCACGGAGAAGAUCGGGAAGGGGAAUGAGGCCCAUAGAAAGUGUGAGCGACAUGAUAUGUCGGUCCUUGUCAACCUUACCUAUCAUCCCGCUCAUCCUGUUGUCAUCGUUCCGACUUGGGGGGGGGGGGCUGCUGUGUCGGCAAGGAACCAAUAUAUUUCCCCCGAGCCCGUCUCUUCCCUCCCCCAAUCUUUGCGUGCGUACGUGCGGGUCUCUCGACGUGCAUCUUCACCCCCUCCCGUGUGGACCCCUCCUCGUCGUCAUUGCACGUGGCUUCGCGCACAUCCUUCCCAUGGCCUGCGGUCGCCCUUUUCCCUUUGACAUGUCUUUUUGACAUUUGCGUGUGGGCGUGUGUCACAUGCCGCGUCGUCCGCACACAUCCCCGCCACCGUCACUGCCACCACCCCUCACCCCGCGCUUCCGGCGCACACCUCUGCACUGUCCCUGUUUUGCUGCCUCACUUUCCCACCCCCCCCCCUGCAACGGCAUUCUGUGAUAGCUAGCUCGCCAUUUUUGUAUUCGCCGCGUCUCUCCUGCUAUUACAUGUCAGUAGGGAGCUGUAUGUAUGUCUGCGCCUGUAUCUGUGGAUGGGGAUGCGUGUGUGUGUAUGCAUGUAUGUCCAAGUUGUGCUGUUUGUCUCCCUUCUCUUCCCAUUGUGACUAACUAUUCCUACUCUUCCCAGCCCCCCCACCACCACCACACACACACCACGCUACAUACACACACAUCCGUCCCCUGUCUUGGUCUCUCACUUUCUUUUUCUGUUUUUGUGAGGAGGAGCACGUGUAGUUGAUGUCGACUGCGGCCCUGUCGCCGUCGUCUCCUUCAGCACCGCUGUCCCCUUCCCCCUCCUCCCUCGUGCACCCUUCGAGCACCCCCCCCCUUCCCCUCCCUACUUCACGCACACAAACACACAUGCACGCACGCGCACCCUCUCGUUCAUAGUCACGCGCGUGCUUUUUGUUUUCGCACAUCGUCGUUGUUGUUCCGUUUUGUUUUGCCGUUGGGUACAAGGAUGUACAUGUCAGCUAUAUAUGUAUAUAUAUAUAUAUGCAUGUGUGUGCGUGUGCACAGCUUCUUUUGGCGCUGCUGUCGGCUAUUCCUUUGCGUUGCUGCCGCCCGCAGGGCUUCUGUUUGCUGUUUCGUGGUCAUGUGUGACUCAGAUGUGGAAUCACCUUGGCUUAGUACUUCCGUUGUUUUCUGUUAGUUCUAUGCUUUGCGUUGGUGGAUCGGCGUGCGUGCGUGUGUGUGUGUGCUCAGUCUUCUACCUGUACAAGGAACCAGCUGGGUCAAGCCAGCUGCUUGCGCACUCUCACUCACAGGCCCGCGCCUCAUACUCGCACACCUCCAUCAAGGAAGAGGUCGCUGGAAGGUGGCAAGGAUAGGCGUGCACUCGCACACAUACUCACGCGAACAGAAUGAACAAGCAGCUCUCGCACUCCGACGUGGGCGACUCUCCUUGUUCUCUAAAAUAUUUUGUGCUUCUUUGUUUAUGCUAUAGUCUGCCAAGCACCAGAAGUGAACACGCAGAAGGUUGGAAAGGGAGGUGGGCGGGUGGUUCGACGGUUAUGCCGGCAGAGACAAAAUUUUGGAUGUGUUGUAGCGUUGCAUCUUGGUCGCUCAAGACGAAGCCCAGGAAGGCGCUGUGGGUGUGGAGAGAGGGGGAGAGAUCGAGUCCGUGUGCGUGUGUUUCAUACCAAACAAACAAAGAAGCAGAGAGAGCGCGCGUGCGCACAUCAUCAUCAUCAUCUCGCAGUCACCUACGCGCAGUUCCACUGUGUUGGCUGUGCAGCAACCUCUCUCUCUCUCUCUCUCUGCUUGUUUGUUGUUGCUGCGUUCAGCACUCCUGCACCCACGCACACAUGGCACGAUACUUUUGGCUCCCUCCAGGUCAUUUCCGAUCUCCUCCUCCCCACCGCCCGCCCCUCGUUUUCACUCCUCUCCGUUCAGCGCUGUCGGCUCGUCCCGCCCUCCCCACAACCGCCCCGCCGCUGCCUUCUCACGGUAUCCUUGGUCAGUGGUGUAUGCUUGUGUGGCGGUGGUGUUUUCUUCGCCCUCUCCCCACGCCGUGCCUCUCCUCAUUUCUCUUGUCCAUUUCCCUUUUGUUGUUGUUCGUUGUGCCACACGUUUUUGGAUAUGUGCAUGUGGCUAUUCCUCUAUGUCAACUGCAUUCACGACGAUGCCCCCUCUCUUGCCUUUUCUUCGCACUGUUUUUUUUUUUUGGUUUUGCUGGAUGGUGUCGCUCCUGUCGUUGUCCGACUUGCUCAUAGUAUAUAUUUAUUUAUAUUUCUUUGGGCUCUUCGCCCACCCCUCCUCCCCCUCCCGCUUCUCUCUCUCUCUAUCCCGUUAUCAUGUGCAUGCCGACAUCCACACACGUACAGACUGACCGAUGCGCAAGAACGAAAAAAAGUUUCUUUUCAGCACGCACAUCGCAUUGUACGCUCGUUCCUCCCACUUCUUUUAUGGUUCCCAUCUCUCAGUCCCGCACCCACCCACCCUCCUCCCACACACACAUAUGUAUAUGUGUGUGCGAGAGACGGCUGUGAUGUGGUCACAUCUCUCUCUUUGCGUGUCUGUGUGUGUGUGUGUUCCUUUAACUUUCUCAGCAACAGAAAGGAAAAAUAAUUCGCCCCGAGGCCCUCACCCUCAAGACAAACAAGGCGUAG